rnacentral:rRNA from 1 species
GUGGGGAAUAUUGGACAAUGGGCGAAAGCCUGAUCCAGCCAUGCCGCGUGUGUGAAGAAGGUCUUCGGAUUGUAAAGCACUUUAAGUUGGGAGGAAGGGCAGUAAGUUAAUACCUUGCUGUUUUGACGUUACCAACAGAAUAAGCACCGGCUAACUUCGUGCCAGCAGCCGCGGUAAUACGAAGGGUGCAAGCGUUAAUCGGAAUUACUGGGCGUAAAGCGCGCGUAGGUGGUUCAGCAAGUUGGAGGUGAAAUCCCCGGGCUCAACCUGGGAACUGCCUCCAAAACUACUGAGCUAGAGUACGGUAGAGGGUAGUGGAAUUUCCUAUGUAGCGGUGAAAUGCGUAGAUAUAGGAAGGAACACCAGUGGCGAAGGCGACUACCUGGACUGAUACUGACACUGAGGUGCGAAAGCGUGGGGAGCAAACAGGAUUAGAAACCCGGGUAGUCC